rnacentral:rRNA from 1 species
GCUGGCGGCGUGCCUAACACAUGCAAGUCGAACGAGAAAGUGGAGCAAUCCAUGAGUACAGUGGCGUACGGGUGAGUAACACGUGACUAACCUACCCACGAGUGGGGAAUAACUUCGGGAAACCGAGGCUAAUACCGCAUAAUGUCUACGGACCAAAUGCGCAAGCAGCUUGAGGAGGGGGUCGCGGCUGAUUAGCUUGUUGGCGGGGUAACGGCCCAUCAAGGCAAUGAUCAGUAGCCGGCCUGAGAGGGCGCACGGCCACACUGGAACUGAAACACGGUCCAGACUCCUACGGGAGGCAGCAGUGGGGAAUUUUGCGCAAUGGGGGAAACCCUGACGCAGCAACGCCGCGUGGAGGAUGAAGCCCCUUGGGGUGUAAAUUCCUUUCGAUCGGGACGAUUAUGACGGUACCGGAUGAAGAAGCACCGGCUAACUCUGUGCCAGCAGCCGCGGUAAUACAGAGGGUGCAAGCGUUGUUCGGAAUUAUUGGGCGUAAAGGGUGCGUANGCGGUGCGGUAAGUCUUCUGUGAAACCUCCGGGCU